rnacentral:RNase_P_RNA from 1 species
ACAGCGACGACUCCUACGACUUAGAGACCUGUUUACACAAGGAGGGUACCCUCCCUCAACCAACAGGUGGGAAAUUCGGUGAAACACAGUGGAAUCAUUCCUUCCAGCCUGGGCUCGCUUCCUUCGGGAAGCUAGGCUCAGGUCUUUCCGUGAGGACAGCCUAGCCGGGGACCGGUCUGCCUGGACGUUGUUAUCAGAAAUUCACACGGGUAACCGUGAUGGGAAAGCAACGAGUGUUUUAUUUGACGGGCUUCUGUUUACACAGUGGUCCAGUCUGUUGAGUGCAAUCGUAGGACAUGCCCUAGGGCUUGAACCCGAUACCGAUUACCGUCCUUGU